GGUUAAGCGACUAAGCGUACACGGUGGAUGCCCUGGCAGUCAGAGGCGAUGAAGGACGUGCUAAUCUGCGAUAAGCGUCGGUGAGGUGAUAUGAACCGUUAUAACCGGCGAUUUCCGAAUGGGGAAACCCAGUGUGUUUCGACACACUA
rnacentral:rRNA from 1 species